rnacentral:rRNA from 1 species
GACGAACGCUGGCGGCGUGCUUAACACAUGCAAGUCGAACGCUGAAGCUUGGUGCUUGCACUGGGUGGAUGAGUGGCGAACGGGUGAGUAAUACGUGAGUAACCUGCCCUUGACUCUGGGAUAAGCUUGGGAAACUGGGUCUAAUACUGGAUACGACAUGUCACCGCAUGGUGGUGUGUGGAAAGGGGUUUAGUGGUUUUGGAUGGGCUCACGGCCUAUCAGCUUGUUGGGGGGGUAAUGGCUCACCAAGGCGACGACGGGUAGCCGGCCUGAGAGGGUGACCGGCCACACUGGGACUGAGACACGGCCCAGACUCCUACGGGAGGCAGCAGUGGAGAAUAUUGCACAAUGGGCGGAAGCCAGAUGCGGCGGCGCCGCGUGAGGGAUGACGGCCUUCGGGUUGUAAACCUCUUUCAGCACGGAAGAAGCGAUAGUGACGGUACGUGCAGAAGAAGCGCCGGCUAACUACGUG